UACGGAGGGAGCUAGCGUUGUUCGGAAUUACUGGGCGUAAAGCGCAUGUAGGCGGAUUGGAAAGUUGGAGGUGAAAUCCCAGGGCUCAACCUUGGAACUGCCUUCAAAACUCCCAGUCUGGAGUUCGAGAGAGGUAAGUGGAAUUCCGAGUGUAGAGGUGAAAUUCGUAGAUAUUCGGAAGAACACCAGUGGCGAAGGCGGCUUACUGGCUCGAUACUGACGCUGAGGUGCGAAAGCGUGGGGAGCAAACAGG
rnacentral:rRNA from 1 species